AAGUCGUAACAAGGUUUCCGUAGGAAUAAGAUCCUCCUUGAAGCCUUUUGCACGACGACUAUAACCACGUGCACAGUCUCUUCUCUGAGAGGCUACGCCACUAAAGUGCUGGAAUACAUAUCUUGUAAAUCAGCAGCCAACCAUGAAUUGUCUUUUGUGCUUGGUUCACAGAUUAGCUAGUGAUGGUCAACGGGCGCUCGUGUCGUCGUUGAUUAAGAUAUAAUCGGUCUCAUGGUGACAAUCACGGUUGAAAAACGUUCCGUAGGUGAACCUGCGGAAGGAUCAUUAUCGAGUUAGGGUCCUCCGGGCCUCAUCUCCAACCCUUGUUUAUUCUACCAUGUUGCUUCGGCGGGCCCGUCCUCAACCGGACCGUUGGGGAUCUGCAUCCCUGGCCAGUGCCCGUCUUUAGCCCCAAUCAAUUCUUCUCCCAGUGACGUCUCAGGAACAUUAUAAUAACUAAAACUUUCAACAACGGAUCUCUUGGUUCUGGCAUCGAUGAAGAACGCAGCGAAAUGCGAUAAGUAAUGCGAAUUGCAGAAUUCCGUGAGUCAUCGAAUCUUUGAACGCACAUUGCGCCCCCUGGUAUUCCGGGGGGCAUGCCUGUUCGAGCGUCAUUAUCAACCCUCAAGCUCGGCUUGCUGUUGGGUCACACCGUGGAAGCAAUGGUGGACCCGAAAGAUAAUGGCCGAGUCCGUGGGACCCUGGAUGCAGCGAGCCUUUGAGCACGCGUCCGGACGGUUUCCGGGCUCGGUCUUANCCAAUAAAACUCUGGUUGACCUCGGAUCAGGUAGGGAUACCCGCUGAACUUAAGCAUAUCAAUAAGCGGAGGAAAAGAAACCAACAGGGAUUGCCUCAGUAACGGCGAGUGAAGCGGCAACAGCUCAAAUUUGAAAUCUGGCUCCGUCGGGGCCCGAGUUGUAAUUUGUAGAGGAUGCUUCGGGCAAGGCCGUGGUCUAAUUCGCUUGGAACAGCGAGUCGCAGAGGGUGAGAAUCCCGUCUAGGACCGCCGGCCGCGUCCGUGUGAAGCUCCUUCGACGAGUCGAGUUGUUUGGGAAUGCAGCUCUAAAUGGGUGGUAAAUUUCAUCUAAAGCUAAAUAUGGGCCAGAGACCGAUAGCGCACAAGUAGAGUGAUCGAAAGAUGAAAAGCACUUUGAAAAGAGAGUUAAACAGUAUGUGAAAUUGUUGAAAGGGAAGCGCUUGCAAUCAGACUUGCGACGGACGGUUCCCCCGGCCUUCUGGCCGGGCUACUCCGUCACGUCCAGGCCAACAUCGGUUUGGGUGGCCGGUUAAAGACCCCGGGAACGUAUCUACCUCCGGGUCGACUUAUAGCCCGGGGUGCAAUGCGGCCCACCCGGACCGAGGAACGCGCUCCGGCUCGGAUGUUGGCGUAAUGGUUGUAAGCGGCC
rnacentral:rRNA from 1 species